UACGAAGGUCCCAAGCGUUAUCCGGCUUUAUUGGGUUUAAAGGGUGCGUAGGCGGGUUAUUAAGUCAGUGGUGAAAGCCUUCAGCUCAACUGAAGAAUUGCCAUUGAUACUGAUGAUCUUGAGUACGAUUGAGGUAGGCGGAAUGUGUCAUGUAGCGGUGAAAUGCUUAGAUAUGACACAGAACACCGAUUGCGAAGGCAGCUUACUAAGUCGUAACUGACGCUGAUGCACGAAAGCGUGGGGAGCAAACAGG
rnacentral:rRNA from 1 species